GUUUUCUCAAUGCAAGGCCUUGAAAGCCUUUUUAAGAACUAUUUCUAGAAAACU
rnacentral:tRNA from 1 species